UAAUUAAACUACUCCUUGA
rnacentral:tRNA from 1 species